rnacentral:sRNA from 1 species
GCUGGGCAUAGUAGUGCAUGCCUGUAAUCCCAGCGACAUGGGAGGCUGAGGCAGGAGGAUGGCCAGUGUGAGGGCAGCCUCAGCAACUUAGUAAGAUCCUGUCUCAA